UCAUGUUUACAGUCAGGCGCCCCACCAGUCUGCCACAGCACCCGGCCCCUGCGACCACGCAACGGCAGCGACGCAUCAGUCAAGCGGAGGCCCUUCAUGACAGGGCAGAAAGAAACCAAACGCAGGGAGGGACCGAACGUAGCGGACAUGGACCAGGACCGAGAACCUUUAGACCCAGUCUCCAGGAGCGACGGCGUCGUCGUGGUCCCAGUGGAGAACGGACGGGAGGCAAAUAACGUGCCAGGAUCGCCCAACGGUUGUUACGGUCGCUGCAUGCCGCGUUUCUGUGCGAUUUUCGCCUUCGCUGUCACAUUCUUCGUCGUGAAAUUCAUAAUUCGCGUAAUUAUAAACCUUGGCCGUUCGAUGCAAGAGCACCAACAGACGCUUCACUUACCCGACGUAGGGGUCCCCGUGAUCAAACCUCCAGAGAGAGAUCAGCUUCUAUUGGACAUAUUGCGGAAGCGAAAUUGGGCUGUUAACCCAUGAGGAAUUCUGCACCAACAGACCGUACUCCUCUGGCCGGUUAGACGGUGGCAGGCGAACGAUGGCACGCUGCUGAAACGCCAAAUCGUCUUUUCGGUCUCAGAAUAAACACCCAUUGUCCAGUACUUCACGAA
rnacentral:misc_RNA from 1 species